UCAAUUUUUUCCUCUUGCUUAUCCUCCUUCCCCCGCGAACAGAGUGGCCUCGCCUGCACCCCUUCCCGCUGCUAUAAAAGGCCUCGAGCUUCAUGUGCAUUGGUCAGUCGGGUGUUGGAAGUCGCAGAGAGAGGAAGAGUGUCUGGUCCCGCUUGUGGCAGUUCUGAGAGUGACUUUAAGAGUGGCUAGUUGGAAAUCCUGCUUCUUGUUCAUAUUAGAAAAACAAAGGUGAGACACGGUCAAACACAUACCGGAGGUCUUCAGAGCCUCAAGGAACAAGGAAACAUGGCUGGCGGUGGUGGUGGCGUGGUGGUGAUGGUGGUGGUGGUGGCGGUGGUGGUAGUGGUGAUGGGACAAACGGAGGGGAAACCGGCAUUACCACACUCACCACCUCAUUGGUUUCAACACCUGCCAGGCAACACAGCCCUGACGGAAGCAAGGAGGCAACAAGAGGAGGAAGAGGAAGACAAAGAGGAACAAGAACACAUCAUAUCACGUGACUUCGCUUCGGCUGACCUGGGCACUCGGGGGGCGUGGUAAGCUGUGUGUGUGUGUGUGUGUGUGUGUGUGUGUGUGUGUGU